CUUUGCCCCAGGUGGAAUUGCACAGCCCUUACCAGGAGCCGGGCUGAGUAAUCCGCUUGGGUUUACUUUCAGGAGCUUUUAAUCCUUGAGCGCUUUCCGUAGAGUUCCGGAGGACGGGAAUGAAAGUGGCAGCCUCCCAGUCUCCAGCUGGGAGGAGCCGAGAGCUCAGGGUCCCGCUCCUCAGUGCGCCCUCAGAGAAAAGCGCCCAACCGCCCCCGUCUCCCUGGCCUCUGGUUGCACUCAACCACUCGCACUUGGAGAAAAGAGCCCGGUCGCUUCUGUCUCGGUGGCCUCAGGCCACACUCUGAGCUCACCCCGCCUGCGACCAGUUCAAGUGAGAAGACACCAUACCUCAAUGCGGGAUUAAAUCAUUUUUUGGAAUUUUAGAUUCUUCCUCAGCCAAGAAAAUGUGUUCGUAUUUAUUGUUGCGGAAUUUUUCCUCCCUCCAGAAUACUACAUGAAGCCCCACUCCUGUUUCCUUGGGUAGUAACAUCAUGACAUGAUGUCCCAGUGUACUCAAUUAGAUGAAUGACUGGAGGUGCAGACAGAGCACAGCUAUGUGCCUGCUGGCACAGUCCAGGGUUGGCCUGCCACCGAGAAACCCGAGGGCACAGAACAAUGCAGCAAUGUUCUCUAAGUGUUGUGCUGUUUGGAUAAUGGACAAGUUCAAGCUGUUUCAUGACUCAGCUGUGCCCAACUUCCCCAAGUCACAAAAUCCAGAUAUGGGAAGGACUUCAGGACAGGGUGUAGAAGGCCUGGAUUCUGAUUCUAUGCCACCACAAGCCUUGAGUGUGUCACUUAAAUGCCAAAUCUCACCUUAUACCUUUGGAAAACUCAUGGUCUAG
rnacentral:lncRNA from 1 species